rnacentral:lncRNA from 1 species
GAGAUUUGGGGUCAUGGAUCUCAUGAUAACAAACAGAGCAACACUAUAGUUGCCAAUCAAACCCUAAGAACUGAAAUUGCUUCAUGGAUCUCAUGAUAAUAAUUAGAACCUUAAUUCAAACCCCAAAACUGAAAUUUAGAGAAUUAAUUCAAACCCCAAAACUGAAAAUUAGAACAUUAAUUCAAACACCAAAACUGAAAUUGCUUCAACGAUGGAAGAGAGAGAGAGAGAGAGAGAGAGAGAGAGGGAGAGGGAGAGGGAGAGGGAGAGAGAGAGUUAUGUUUACCUAAUCAAUGAGAUCGAGCUCGUUCGUUGGUUGGCAAAUAAACCCUGCUUCAGAAAACCCCAAAAAAAUCGGUUCAUCAUCCAUGUUAGCUGCUAGAACCAAACCCUGAAUUAAAAUUAAACUACAAAAAUAGAAGCAAACUGGAGAGAGCAGCCAAACACUAACCUUAAAAUUAAAUUAAUUAAUUACAGCAAAUCGAGUACCUGCUACCUGGAAGGCGACGGCGGUGUGGCGCUGAGAACGACGGAGAGAGAGGAAAAUGAGGAGUUGUGCAGCGGCAGGAGGGAAGAGGGGCGUGCGGAGUGUUUUGCGAGAGAGAAGAGGGCGUGCGAAGUGUUUUGAGGAAUCAGGAGAAAGGAGAAAGGAGAAAGGAGGGGGCAGUAUUGGCAAUUUGGAAAAAUUCAUUAACAAAGUACUGUAGCUCCGUGUUUUGUUUAAUAAGCCGCUUCUUGAAGCUGCUUUUUGCAGCUUCCACUUUUUGGCUUUUUUUCAUCUGAAACUUUGAAAUAAAGCUGUUUUGGGAUGUUUACCAAACACCAAAAACUCUCCCAGCUUUUUUUCAUACCAGCUUUAUUAAAAAUCACCUCAACCCCGAACUGGGGCUAAAUCUAUGGAAAAUGGUGCAGUUGCUAGUUCCAUGUCAGCAAUCUCAAAACCGUAUCUUGCAAAUGGAGCAUGUAAAGACAGACCCGUCAGUUCUCCAAGCAAUGACACUUCAUUUCCAUCUCUGCACUUGCCAGUGGUAGUUGUACACUAUUUGAUUUGUUUAUUUUGUGACAGCAUAUGGUUUUGCCUUAUGAUAUUUCGAAAAUUUUCCAGAGUCAAUUGUGCUUUACUUUCUUGGUGAAUGACAACCUAUUAUUUAGCUCUAACACUUGACCAUUUGUGGCAUCCAGGUGACCGGUCAAGAGACGAGCCUUGUGGCUAGAUGUCGAAGACUCUAUGCCAAUGCUCAUGACUAUCAUAUUAAUUCGAUUUCAAAUAACAGGUACAUCUUUUUUUUUUCAAUGGAAUAUGCCUUCACCUUUUCAUCUAUUUUUAAUCUUGUUGUGUAUGUUCAGUGUUUGCCUUGAUGCUUGUGCUCCUAUUUGAAAAUUCUAUUAUUUAAUUACCUUAUCAUGGAGGAGCCAAUUGUGUAGUUGUCGGACUUCCCCCACCCCCAAAAGAAAAAAAAAAACCAGUUUCUGUAGCACACGGUGACACUAAAGAACAAUUUAUGUCACUAGAUGAAAAAGAUUUAUCUUCGAUGUCGAGUCUUGCUAAUAUGCAUUAUGCAGUAUAUUCUUUGGUAUUAUUGCAUGGAUAUAAUCUAACAAGGUCUCCAUCUUCUGGUCACUAAUAAUGUAGCUAUCUUUUGGUUUUGCAGCGGUGGUGAAACUUUUUUAUCAGCUGAUGACCUUCGAAUUAAUCUUUGGAACCUAGAGAUUAGCAAUCAAAGUUUUAAUAUUGUUGACAUGAAGCCGGUAAACAUGGAGGAUCUAACUGGUAGAACCCACAACACUAUGAUGACAAUUGCUUACUUUCCUAGCUUUUAACUAUCAUUUGAAGAGAAAUGGCAGUAGACAUAACCUUGACCCAAUUAUUUGGGCCUGCUACAAGGCUCCUGGUCUUCCAUUCGGUCAUAUUCUGGAUAAUGUUUCAUUAAAUGGCAUGCUAUUAUGUCUUUCUUAGAUUUCAUCUGUUUCUAUUUACUUUGAUCUCCCUUUUCAUUAGGUUUGGAUGGCUGAAAUGUUCUGGCCAUGUAGUAAACUUGAAUUAUGCCUUAUUUAUAUGCUUUGUUUGUCAAACAGCUCCACAUGUGUAAUUAUUUAUCUUUACAUACUUGAAAUUUAUGUGCAGAGGUGAUAACAUCCGCUGAAUUUCACCCUACUCAUUGUAACAUGUUGGCAUACAGUAGCUCAAAAGGCUCAAUUCGUCUUAUAGAUCUGCGGCAGUCAGCUUUAUGUGACACUCAUAGCAAAUUGUGAGUCAUCUUUCAUUCUUCCUUCCUUCCAUUCUUGGACUCAUCAAAGAUGAUUUAGUAUUAUAAUAAAAUAAAUGUAUGAGAAAUCUUUUGACAUUUUUUGCCGUCUUUAAUUUCUUGGUUUGCUUUGAAUCGUAAUUAUGAUUUGUAAUGGUGCAGGUUUGAAGAACAAGAAGCGCCCGGCUCAAGAUCUUUUUUCACUGAAAUAAUAGCAGCAAUUUCAGAUAUUAAGUUUGCUAAGAACGGAAGACAUAUACUAAGUCGGGAUUACAUGACUCUUAAGGUUCAUAUAUUCAUACUCUUAUAAUAAGAUGGUUCAUACUUCCAAUAUUUAGAAACUUCAGUAUCAUUUGUCCUAGAAACAAAGUUGCAAGUAACAAACACUUGAAAACCUUAUUUUCCCUCCCUCCCUCCCUUCCUUCCAGUGGAUUGGUGACACGGGCAAUGCCCUCUAUGGGUGCCACCCCUCAACAUCUCACUGUUUCUGCCGUCCCUCCUUCCCUUCCUUUCAGUGGAUUGGUGACAUGAGUGAUGCCCUCUAUGGGUGCCACCCCUCAAUAUCUCACUGUUUCUGUUGAUUCCUCAGCUAAAAUAUUCCUUCCUUCCAUUGGAUUGGUGACAUGGCCAAUGUCCUCUAUGGGUGCCCUCAAUAUCUCACUGUUUGUGCCAUCCCUCUUUCCCUGCCUUCCUUACAGUGGAUUGGUGACGUGGGCAAUGCCCUCUAUGGGUGCAGCCCCCAAUAUCUCACUGUUUCUGUUGCUUCCUCAGCUAAAAUAUGCUAAUGUUGUUACUGUGAUGUUUAGAGUUAGUACUUGAUAUCAUGAUUUUCAAUUUUGUGCUUGUGGUGAGUUUGGGCAUUGCAACUACUUCUUGUCUUCAGAUUUCUCUGAUUCUUAACCCUGUCCGUUACAAUUUUUGUUCUCACCUUUUCUUUUUGGGGUUUCUCAGUUAUGGGACAUCAACAUGGAUUCUGGCCCAGUUGCCACUUUUCAGAUUCAUGAACAUCUAAGACCAAAGGUAAUAUGUUCCUUCAAAAAGUUUGUUUGAUCACAUGUGAUCUUAAAAGAAGACGAGACCAUUUAAGUAAUACCAUACAAUGCAACUUAUUAAGUUCUUUACCUUUCUCAGCUCUGUGAUUUAUACGAAAAUGAUUCUAUCUUCGAUAAGUUUGAGUGCUGUCUAAGUGGAGAUGGACACCGAGUGGCAACAGGUUCUUACAGGUUAGACUUACACCAUACACAUCCUUUGUUGCUUUUACACUUACACCCUGACCUAAGCAGUGUGGGGCUCAACGUAUGAAGAAACACAUUUCUGUGAUUCCAGCAAUCUGUUUCGAGUGUUUGGUUGUUCUGAAGGGAGCACAGAAGCAACAACAUUGGAGGCCAGCAAAAACCCCCUGAGGUAUCUUUUUUAAAUUCUAUAUAUGCUCGUCAGGCAUGCUAUUGUUAGGGCAUAGUAUCAUUUUGGUCCAAGAAAAACUCUUGUUUAUUUUCUUUUGUUCUCUUGGUCAAAUGUGCUUAUAAUUUUUCUCAUGAACUUCCAGGAGACAAGUUCAAUCUUCGGGCAACCUUCGUCGUGUUAUCAGGCGAGGUAUGUUCUUCCAUCAUAACAUAAAAGGUGCGGAUAACUCUGGAGCUGAUGCAAACGGAAAUCCUUUUGACUUCACAACAAAGUUGCUACAUCUUGCAUGGCACCCUUCUGAGGAUUUAAUCGCCUGUGCUGCUUCAAGCAGCCUAUACAUGUAUUAUGCGUAAAAGUAGUACGGAAAGUUGCUUGUCUUGGCCGGCAAAGCUCUUCUGAUUUCUAUUGACAAAACGUUGCUUGCCUUCUUCUCCGGCUAGUGAUGUUAAGAUUUGUCGGCUUAAUUCGUCUGGUUAUCGGGUGUUUAUUGUUUUAGGUAAAUGUUUUUGGUGUAGGCAAACUGAUCAUCUCUAUAUUGUACGAGGUUCGGUCAUAAUUUCGAAGCAUAUGGACUAGUUUUGGUGAAUUAGGUGCUUCCUUCAUUUAGUUUGUGCUGACAUUAGUAUAUAGCCCUUGGGGGCUAGGAAUUUGUAACAAACUUUUCUCUUGUUCCUAAACCACUAUUUUAUCAAGUAUAUGGUGAACUUUCCUCUUUUUGUUCAUGUCUUCCAAACCCUUGUGAAUUGGUUUGGAAAAUUGGGUUUGGUGGCGCUUUUACAAACCCACCAACCAAAAAUAGUCGUCUCGAAAUGCCCUCUUUGAUGAAAAUACCCUCGUUACCGAUGCAAUAUUGGUAGAUUAUUGACUCAAUCUUAAGGUAUUUUCGUCAGAGGGCAAGUAGAGAUUGCAUUCUACAAGGGGGGCUAAUUUUGGUUGGUGUAUUUGGAAAAGGCUUGUAAGCCCAAUUUCUCAUUAUUUUUUAUCUACUGUGCAUAAUUUUCACAAAAUUACUGUGGUGAAGUCUUUCCUAUGUGGUAUGGUAAUUUUUGUUGUAUCACGUGAGUAGCUCACUGUGAGAAUUCGUCUCGUGCUACUUGUAUUACAUGAGUAGCACGAUUUGUGAGAGAUUUGUUUCGUGUAAUAGAUUCUACUUAUUGUAUUACGUGAGUAGCACGAUCUGUGAGAGAUUUGUAUCAUUGAGCAUGCUUGCUUAAAGAAAAAUUCAAGGGCCAAUUACAUUUAGACACGAGUUGUUUAUGCCCACGUGUGGAGAAAAACUUGUGUGGGGUUUGACUUACUACUGGACUUUGCAUAGUGGCACUACAAUCCACUAAAAAAUCGCCACGUGACAAGUCUUAAAUAUAAUUUUUUUUCCCAUUCUUUUAUAUUUAGGAUUCUCAUAAUUAUAUUUCUCACUAAUUAAUAUACAUCAAUCUAAUGGAUAUAUUUUUUUUGUUUUCUUUCUUUUUUAAAAAAAAUGGGAUAACUGGUGGCAGACCAUGGUUAUCCACUCCAAAUAUUCCCUCCAAUUUAUGUUGCAGGACUCUUUCACUUUCUUCUCUCUCCCACUUCUUUGUCUCUCCGACUAUUUUCUCUCGCUGUUUUUCAUAAAAAAAUUUGUACCCUAAACAAAAUCACUUUCUCCAACUUUUGUCAUGGGAAGCAAUCAAGAAUCUUUAAGUUUUUUCGUUAUUGAUACAAUACUUGAUUUGAUCAAGUGAACUUGACAUGAAUAACCUUUACAUAUAGGCGUAUUAGGGUUAGCCUAAUUUUUUAUUUGUUUUCGUUAACAUGUUUAUCUAAUAUUAGGGCUCAAAUGUUAAUCAAUGUUAUGGUUAAUAUGUUGAUACGAAUUACCCACAUAUUUAUACAAUAAUUUUUUCCGUUCUUUACUAUGAGUAUUUUAUUAAUGUGGUAGUCUUUUUUUAUUUUAUUUUAUUUUCACUUGGUAGGUUGCUGCUAAGACAAUGGAGUUUUAAGAAGAUGUAAAAAUUAAAAUGGUGGUGAAUCCUGACGCUGAAGCCUUUCAAGUACGCAAUGCUUAUGCUAUGAGGAAAGGGUUCAGUCUUCGUAAAGAGCAUAUUCGAAGAGAUAAAACAAAUACUAUUACACAAUGAUAUUGUUUGGGAAGUUAAAGAUGGCAGGCAUGCAGAGGGAGGGAGGGGGGGGGGAUGAACAAAAUAUAAGCCAUUAAAUUGAUGCAUAUUAAUUAGUGAAAAAAAAUAAUUACGUGAAUUUUAAAUAUAAAAGAAUGGGAAAAAAAAUUAUAUUUAAGACUUGCCACGUGAUAAUUUUUUAGUGGAUUGUAGUGUCACUCAGCAAAAUCCAGUAACAUGCCAAACCCCACACAAAAUUUUCUCCCACGAGUGACCGGGUUGAAAUGUGCGUUUACAUUUGUGCUUCAUUAGAUUAUUAUUAUUUUUUUAAUUGUCAUGAUAAGUCACGAUGAGCUUGGACAAAUGAUCUUAUUUAGUAAUUUUUUAAAAUGAUUUAGAAGUACGAUAUAUGGGAAUAUAAUCAUUAAUUAUUUGCAUAUAAAGCCGAUUAUGAUACUCAAUUCAAUAGUUUUAAUGAAAUUGUGAAAUAACUUAUAUAGAACGAGUUUAUUCUUACGUAACAUUCUAAUUUAAUAAUGCAGUCAUUUAGAAUUACAGUCUAGUGGUAUUUUUAUUUAUUAGUAAGUGAGAGGUGAGAGAUGAGAGAUUUUAGGUUUGAAUCUUGUCAAAUACGAAUUUGAACCACAUUAUUGCUUGUCUUUGUGAGAUUUAACCCAUUCGCUCACCCUUAGAGUACAUAAUAUUGUUUAUUCAAAAGAAAAAGGAAUAAUGCAAUGACGUGUAGAGAUAAAAUUACACGCAACAGUAUAUCAUUAGAUCGAGAUGUUAAAAUGUGGCAUAGUUCGUUGUUCACAUUGUAAACACGGAAAUUUCUGAAACAAACGAGACAAGAACACGUGUACAAAAUAAUAUUUUGUAUUAAUGAUUUUGGGGUUACAAUCUCUCUCAAAUUUGAUCAUCUGAUUCGAUCUCCGUAAGAUGUUGAUUUGUGGAUGUGUGAUUGAUCCAAGGGUCAUCGAGGCUUGAUCUUGGAUGAAUGUUUGAAAGUUUCUUCAAGGGCCAUUGGGGUUUGAUCUUGAAGGUCGAGGGAACGGAUCUUCAAGGAGCUUUUGGGCUUGAUCUUGAAGAACAGUUGUGCGGGUUUCUUCAAGGGCUUUUGGGCUUGAUCUUGUGAAAAAUGGGUUAGAGGAUUUGUUAAUGUUGUUGAUCCAAAGGGCCGUUGGGGCUUGAUCUUAGGAUGAAUGGAUGAUGAACGAUGAACACUUUAUUCAAGGGCCGUCGGGACUUGAUCUUGAAUUGGUGAAAGUUCUUCAAGGGCCAUCGGGGCUUGAUCUUGAUGGAGGAUUUGAUGAAGAAUGAAGAGAGCUUUUUUGAUCCUUCGGGAUUUGCUUGGGCGCUUUAGAGUUUUAAAGCUUCAAGGUUUUGGUGUUAUGUGAAUUGGUUAUGAAUUGGUGUCCUAAAAUGAAUGAAAUGGCCUUGUAUUUAUACAAAUUUUCAAGGCCUAAUUUUGAAUAUAAUAUUCAGAUGAAAUAAAUCAUUUCUGCCAGGUGUUGACACGUGUCCUUAUUUGAUGACUUUUUCGAUUUAUUUUGAUUUUUUGUUUAGUCACACUCUACGUGUAAAAUUUAUGUGACAUGUGAGCGUUGAAAUUGUAAUUACUGGUCAACAUUUAUUUCACCAAAAUUUCGAUUUCUACACACAUAUCCCUGACUAGUCAAAUACUCACUCAGACAGUUAUACCACAUUCUUCUGGAUUGUUUCAAACCGUAGUGAAUGCCUUAGCCGAAUUGAGAGCUUGUUCUGGGGUUUGGAAAUAUUUGAAUCAGUCAAUGUAAGUCAUUUGGGAACUUUCAUAUAGAUUACUAUAUCAAGAUCCCCAUAAAGAUACGCGGUUACUACAUCCAUUAGCUGCAUAUCCAUUUUUUGGAAACUACCAAACUGAUAAGGUAACGAAAAGUAAUCACAUCUAUAAUGGGUGAAUAAGUUCCGUCAUAGUCAAUCCCGGGGUGUUGUGAGAAGCCUUGUGCAACAAGACGAGCUUUGUAACGCACAAUUUCGCUUUUCUCAUUACGUUUUCGAAUGAAAACCCACUUGUAGUCAACGGGCUUCAUAUGUGGAGGAGUAGGAGGUACAUGGCCAAACACCUUACGUUUCGUAAGCGAAUCGAGUUUAACUUGGAUUGCUUGUUUCCAGUUUGACAAAUCAGUUCUACGUUGACAUUCAUCAAUGGAACGCGGUUCAAUAUCAUCGCUCAACAUGAUCUCAGUAGUUACUACAAAUGUUAAUGCAUCGUCGACAAUCAUCUCAUUUCUACGCCACACAUCAUCUAAGCUAGCAUAAUAGACUGAAAUCUCACGAUUCUCAGGAGGAUGAUUUGUUUCUUCAAGGUCGCUUCCAUAAUCUAGAAUUUCCUCAUGAGUUGGGUAGAAUGAGUAAGCGAUAGUUGGAUUCACGAUAGGCUCUUCAGAACCUUAUACCGUGGAUUUCCUCUUCCGGAUGUGUGAAUCCUUUGAACCAAGGAGUCUGCCAUACUUUUGUGUAGGGGCAGAUGAUUGGCUAGCAACUAAUGUAUGUGGAUCACCAAGAUUGGCAUCCCGGGCCUCAAGGAGGGAAGUUCAUCGUACAUUUGGUACAUCCAUCUUUGCAGGCGUAUUCGCAGCUGGAAUAUGUGAUCUUGUCAUGCGCGCUAGAUAGGUGAAAGCAUAUGGCAUGCUUUGAGCUAUACUCCGAAGAUUUAAUAUGCGCUGCAUUUCAGUUUCAAACUGAGUAGUACGAGGAUCUAAAUGAGACAAAGUGGGGAUCGUUCACGAUAAUUCGCAUCAUUCUUUAGGAAUGUUGACGUUCUUAUCUCCUUCUAAUGACAAGAAAACUGUCUCAUAGAAGUGACAAUCCGUAAAACAAGCGGUAAACAAAUCACCUUUCAAAGGUUCUAAGUAACGAAUAAUCGAAGGAGAAUAAUAUCCAACAUAGAUUCCCAUCAUUUGUUGAGGCCCCAUUUUUGUACGUAAAGGUGGCGAGAUCGACAUAUAUAUCGCACAACUAAAAACGCGCAGAUGCGAUAUAUCGGGUUUGUAUCUGGUAACCAACUGAAGGGCACUAAAUGGUUGUGUUACAACAGGCCUCAGGCGGACCAACAUUGUUGUGUGCAAUCUUGCAUGGCCCCAAGCAAUGAUCGGGAGCUGGGUACGUAUGACCAACAAUAGAGCAAUCAUUUGUAAGUGCUUAAUGAAAGCCUCUGCCAGGUCGUUCUGGGUGUGAACAUGGGGUACAAGAUGUUCAACAUCAACCCUAACCUACAUGUAAUAGUCAUCAAAAGUUUUAAAUGUGAAAUUUUCAGCAUUAUCCAAUCGAAUAGAUUUGAUCGGAUAAUCAGGGUGGUAAGCCCCGAGCUUGAUAACCUGAGCCAACAGUUUGGAGAAUGCAGCAUUCCUUGUGGACAACAAGCACACGUGUGACCAACAUGUGGAAGCGUCAACUAAAACCAUAAAGUAUCUAAAUGGUCCGCAGGGAGGGUGAAUCGUUCCACAAAUGUCCCCUGAAUUCGUUGUAGAAAAAUGGGAGGAUUCGAACAAAUCUUGUCCUAAGAAGGCUUAGUAAUAAGUUUUCCCAUAGAACAUGUUUGACAUGCGAUUCCUUUGAUUGAACCUAAGCUUCGGGUUAGUGGAUGCCCGUGUGAUGAUUUGGGGAUACGGCGCAUCAUUAUUUGUCCAGGAUAUCCCAAAUGAUCAUGCCAAAGUGUAAUUUCGUGCGCGGUCCCAGUAGUAGGGCCUGCCAUAUAGUGGAAUUCUAUGGGACGUAUGGUCGUAGUAUACAGACCACUCGGGAUACGCUCCAUCUUCUCUAGAAUACGCUUCUGGCCAUAUUCGUAGGAAGUUAUGCACAGAAAUUCAACUCUGUUUUCUAUGUGGGUUUCAACGAGGUAAUUGUUAUCUCUAAUGUCCUUGAAAUUUAACGUUAUUCCGGAAUGUGGAGAAUAGAGUGCCUUAACAAUAGUCAAGAUUGUACCAUUGGACAACAUUAUAUGUGCCUUACCGUAUCUUUCAAUCAUGUUGGAUGAGCCUGAGAGGGUUGUCAGAGGUGCAUUCUUAGGUAUGAAAGUGAAAUAGAUGCGUUCACGCAAAACUGUGCGUGUGGUUGCACUAUCUGCCAGACAACUAAUUUCCCCACUAGUCAUACCUAGAAUGAAAAAUUAAUUUGAAUUGAUCACAUGCAUAAAAGUUCUAAAAAAACAAAUAUGAAUUCAAAAUAAUUUUAUUUAUUCAAGGAUGGUAAUUAAAAAAAAACUUAAUAUCCAAAAACAAAUCACCAACAAAUAAUCCAAACAUAAAGGAAAAUUGUUCAAAAAUCAACCAACAAACAAAUUAGGGGGUUCGGCCACUAGGUGGAAUUCGGUCCCAAUGUCUUAUUUCAACUAAAAAAUAAAUUUAUGUCUAAGAUUCUAAUCUUCCAUAGGGGUGGUAUCCUCUUGAAAGUUAGAAACCUCCAUCUUUGUAGUCUCCAGUUCGUCCACUUGCUUGAAGUUUGAUUCAAACUUCUUACAACGAGAAUGAUAUUCAUCUAUAACAUUCUUGGGAGCGAGGCAAACACGGGACCAAUGGUCCUUUGAACCACAGUGAUAACACAUAUUCGCAUCCAUGGUUUCAGGUGCUUUGCCCUUAUUCUUGAAGUUCGGGGCCUUGGGAGUGAAGUUUGAGCACUUCACUUUGUUUCUUCCCUUAGAUGGGCCUUGACUCUGUUGACCUUGGUGGGAUAACUUCUGGCCGCCCUUACCAAGCCUCUUUUGGAAUUUUGGGCAUUGGUUUGUACUUCAGGCACAUCAGUCGCCCUAGGUCUAGCUUGAUGAUUCUUCAUCAACAACUGAUUCUGCUUUUCAACGAGAAGUAAAACAGAAAUUAAAUCCGAGAACUUAGUGAAUUUCUGACCUCUAUAUUGUUGCUGCAGGACAACAUUAGAAGUAGAGAAGGUCGAAUAGGUCUUCUCCAGGGGAUCCUCUUCGGUCAAAGUUUCAUUGCAAAACUUGAGAAGUGAUUGGAUUCGACAAACUUCAGAAUUAUAUUCAUUCACGGACUUAAAGUCUUGGAAGCGCAAAUGCUGCCUAUAUUGUCUUACUUCAGGCAAAAAUAUGUCAUUUUGGUGAUCAAAGCGAUCAGCCAAAGCGACCUAUAGUGCAUGUGGAUCCUCCUCAGCAAGAUAUAUCUUCGAAUGAAGAUCAUAGCAGAGGCUUUUUCAACUUCGCCAAUUGGGUUGUUCGUAUUUUCUUCAAUAGCAGAACACAAGUUUUUGGCUGUGAGGUGGAGCUUCACAUCUUGGACCCACUUGAGUUAGUUCCUUCCAGAGACAUCCAAAGCAGUGAAGUCAAGUUUGUUUAAAUUCGACAUGUUCUUAGCACAAAAUAGAUGGACAAGAUGUGGUUAGUGUAAUGGAGAAAAAAAAAUCAAUCCAUUCACAUAGGAGUAGAAUAUACAUGUUCUAAUAGACAUGUAUUGCUUUAUUUUUGGAUGAAAAACUUCGGAGUUUCAUGGGUGAUGUUUUUAAAUGAAAACUUUAGGUUUUCAAACAAGGCAUGUUUAUAAGAAACUUCAGGUUUCAAAUAAUUAUGAACUUCAGGUUUAUAUAUGACACUCCCCGAUCCGGAAUGUCCACUAGGACCCCGAAUCGAGCUGUGCUGGCCGCCACCUGGAAGGUGACGAAGCCAUAAAUGUUGGAAAUAUGCCCUGAAAGUCAAUCUUUGGAAGAAAUCUUUCAGGACAAAUGAAUGGAUGUAUGGAUGAAUCUUAUACAUCAAAGGCAAAAACACGAAUUAGGACUAUCUCAAAGAACGAUAUAUGUCCUAAAUAGUGUAUCCAUGGACAAUAGUUUGACUAAAAGAAGUAAUCUAAUGAUGUUAGAUUACAGAGACCUUCUUCAUAUAACCAAAUGUCCAAAAGGUUCCUAGUCAUUGGAUUGUCGGAGGGAUACUAACAAUACGUAGACUGGUACAUACUGUGUCUGCUUCAAAUGGAAGGAUGGAAAGUCUCAUCCCAUUCGUGUUGUGACACUAAGACAAGUAUGUAGGUGCUCAUUAGGGGAAUGAGUUCACUGAACACAAUCGAACGAGAGUACUUGCAUGGAGGUCUACUCACAUGUCAAGCAAGUAACUCUAAUGGUUGGAAUAAUGUAAGUAGUCCUUAGACCUGAGGCAUCGUCGUUGUCUUGUGGCUAAGUACUUAAUCUUUGAUUAUGUCAAAGUCUCCCCAUUCGAGGGUGUCCACGGCAUGAUUGGGGUUAAGCCACUUAGUCAUGAAGGCAAGUGUAUGCGCAACAAGGAAUCUCUAAUCCUCGAUAAGAGAGGAAGAAUGCUCUAAGAUAUGAUUCGGGAAUCUUCGGCCGAAGUAUCGAGCGUAUUAAAAGGAAUGCGUUCCUAUACGACUCAAAUGAAUCAUAUAAGAAGGAAUAAUCACAUUAGGGGUUUGACAUAAUAUAUCCAUACCCUAAUGAUGUGAUUGAGAGUAUUGUAUUAGAGAAGGAUCGAAUUACAUUGUAAUUCUAACUGAAUAGGUUCUCUGAAUAAACUUCUACAUUAGCUUGGGUAGCUAUGACAUAUGGUUAGAUGUCAAUCAUAGCUUGUGAGUUCUUCUAGAUGAUUAAAUGUAGUCAUCAAAGAAGAAUGGUGAAUUGAAAUGAAGUUUCAAUUCACUAAGUGAUUGAAUUAAUUGGAUUAGUGCCAAUCACCUCACUGCCUUGCUAAUUAGAACCUAAAAGAUUGUUCACCAAUACACUAUUGUAGUGAGUAAUUAAUGGAUGAUGGAAACAAUUAAUUGGAUUAAUUAUGUGUUGUGAUUAAUUUAGAAAAGUCUAAAGAAAUCAUAAAAGCGAUAAAGAUCGUUUUGGGCUUAAAGAAACGUUCGGGUUUAAUUGGGCCCAUUGGGCCUAAACCCAUUGGGCUUUUAUUCAAGCAUUGGAUGACUUGAAAUAAAUGAAAGCCCAAAGCCCAAACAACACAAAGAGGGCCGGCCACAUUAGGUAUAGAGAGAGAGAGAGAGAGGUCAAAUGUUGACUUGUUUUCUUUUGGCUAUAAAAGGAACUUUAUAGCAAAUGUUUCAUUAGGGUUUUUUGUGUGUUUAGAACAACAAAUAGGCAAAAGAAUAUCUCUCAAAACCACAACAAAGGGCCGGCAACCUAGGGGAUGAAAUAGCUAACAAUCUUUCACCCUUUUGGUUAUUCCUUCAUCCUUCUCACUACACUAGUGGGUGAGGAUCUUUAGAGGUUUCCUACUUUGGAAACUUGAAGAGAACCUAGGAGCACUCAUUCUUUCAAAGUGGAGGAGGCAAGGAGGGAAGCUAGGCUCAAGGAUUUCAAGGAGCAAAGAGCUUGGAGGUGGUCCAUCCUUGGUCUAAAAUCAAGAUCAAGAGGUAUAGAUCUAUUCCUUGACUUUGUUCUUGAUUCAUUAAAAUGUUUUGAUGCAUUAUAUAUAAACCUAUGAACCUUGAAGGGGAUUUACAUGACUAUAGCUUUGAUUUUAUUUGAUAACAUGCUUCCGUUGCUCAUGUAUAUAUGUUUUUGAAUUGUAUAUGCAUGAUAGUCAUCUAGAAAUCCCACAAGAAACUCAUAGAUUUCCCUUCAAUAAAGUGGUGAUAAGGAAAAAUGCGAAUAAUUUUAAACCUAAAGGUGCCUAAUAACAGAGUGCACUGUGCGUGGGUAUGAACCCAAAUCACAUGUGAUGUCAGAGCAUAGUAAAGUACAGCAAUAUAGGUAGAAACCGUACCCACAAAAGUAGCCACCUUAACAGGGACAUGCCACGAAUCCUCGUCGAUAAAGAACUUUGCUACUAGAACCUGGAGGGGCGCAAAACAGAAAACGUGAGUGGGCAAAAAUAAAGCUUUUCAAAACAUCUCAUUUAUUCAACAUUUAUAACCCCUCUCUGAAAAACCUGUAUACUUUCUCAGAAAAUAAUAUAUAAUCGUAUAUAAACAUAUAUAUAUCAUCAAAAGCUCAAAUCACAAUCCUUCAACGCUUUUCAGAAAGAAUAUGUCAUGCCAUGCCAUAUGCCAAAAUAUAAUAUGAAUGCAUCAAUAUAAAUCAGGUGAAAUAACAAAUCAACCGGAGACCCUAUAGUGGUCCUGUACGGCUGAUUCUAUAGCUCAAUAUCCCAUCCAGCCGGAGUCACCAACUGUGACCUGUACGGCCCUGCCGGAGUCACCAACUGUGACAUGUACGGCACUACACUGCACAUAAGUCGGAACUACGUAUAGUAGUCUGUACGACUAAGAUGGUGAAAUAAUACGCUCUAGUGCUUCUCUCAUCAAUCAUCUGCGCGCAUAAUCUAAGGUCACCCACCAGUCGGAACCUCUCUAAUGGUCUGUACGACUGGCAUGUCGGAACCACCUCUAGUGGUCUGUACGACAUCCACCUACUUGGAUCCAAGGCGAGCGUGCGGUGUGGUGAAUAAUAUAAGCACUAUCACCUAGGGUGCAUGUUAUGAGCUUUCAAUGCCAUUCACAUAAAUAAAUCGUCUGAAUAAUAUAAAAACUCACCUGUGCGUCCACAGCACCAUUUCACAUAUAUGCAUCAUAUACCAAAUCAUAUAAUUCAUAUAAUUUCUAUGUAUGGCAUUUCAAAACUCAUUUCAUAACGCAUUUCAUUUAACUCGAUUUCUGGGAAAAUCAAUAGUAUAUAGAUAUAUAUAGAAAACAAAUGCCCACUCACCUGGGGUCCGCGCUACGACUUCCUAACAUCAAAACCAAGGCGUCCCGAACGCUCGGCUCCUAAAACAGUUAUCAAACCACGUCUCAGAACUCUUAUCCAUAUAAUAUGAAAUUCACAUAACACAUAGCCACAAGGGCAUUCAAGAAUAAUGCGAGACCCUUUGAUCAAAGGUCAACCGUCGACUAAGUUCGACGGUAGGGUCGUAACCCCACAUAACUCAAUCUGAAAGAUCCACAACUCAGAUUUCCGAUCCGUCACUCCCCAACAUACACAUUAAGCUUCUAGAACAAUAUACUAAAAUUUCGUUACGAUCCGACGGUUGGAUAUCCGCCAAUUUCCAAGACUAAGUGGCGGUUAACCUUUUCUUUUAUGAACUUACAAAUCCAAUUCGGGAAGAUCCAUCCAUCGAAUUCCCGAUCCGUAAGUUCCCAAAUUCUUCAAAUAUUAUGUACUACUACAUAUCAAAGUUUAAUGAAGAUCCGACGGUUGGAUCUUCGAUUCACCUUUUUGGCCUAACCAUGAAUCGUAUCGAAUUUAAGUCCAAAUGAUCAACCAACGACAAACCACUAUCAAAACUGAAUUUAGGAUAUCAAACAUAGCCUAAAAAUAACAUUGACGGUCCACUGGCCAUGCGCCGCUGUGGGUGGCGGUCGGCCGCCCCGGCUCGCCGGAAAAUUCAACUAUUUCCAAAAAUUACCAAAAUUUACAGAAAUGAAGAUAUCAAUGAGUAGAGAAACUUUCAUACCUGUGGCCAAGGCCAAUUCGGUCGGCAAGGUCUCUAAUUUCAACAAAACCCGUCGGAAACCCUAGGUUUUGGGUGUGCUCAAUCCGUCCUCAAAUCAACUUCGCCAUCCCAACCAUUGCUUGGGCUUUGUUCUAGGCCUCAAGAGGAUGCCAUGGGUGGUGGCAAUUGAAAGAAAUUGCUUCGGGAUUGGGUGAUUCGAAGCUAAGACCGCCGCACCCUUCCUCGCGGGUUCCUCCAUUUUCAAGACCAAAUCUCUCCAAAUUUGAGAUGGAAUGGAUAGAAGGAAGGUCGUGGAGAAGUUCCUAAGUAAUUUCUUGCAGCAAUUCGACGGAAAAUGGGUGAAAAUCGUUGAAAUUGCACACGAGUGCCGACCGGGUUGAACACGGGUUGCGGGUUCCCUCAACCCGUUUCUCCUCCGUUCCUCCGCUUCUCACCCUCUCUCAUUUCCUCCCUUCCCUGUUCCGAUUGAUCAAUCUCUCUCUCUCUCUCCUCCCAAUUCGGCCAGCUCCCUCCUUUCUCUCCCGUAGCUACUGCAUCUCUCCCUCUGGUUGGGCAGCUUGCCCAACCUCUUCUUCUUCCUCUUCUUUUUCCUUCUUUCCUUUCCAUCCGCACCAUCCAUUUCUUCUUCUUUAAAUCUAGGCCAUCCAAAUAGCACACCAGAUUUUAUAAAGGAAGAAUCCAUAUUUUCUGAAAUUAAUAAAUUGAUCAAAUUUCAAACUUUAAUAACUUCUUUGUUAUAGCUCCAAAUCACGAACCGCUUACGCCCACGCGUCCGUAGUGACGAGUACUACAAGAAUAUGCCAAAAAAUCAAGUCUUACGUGUCAUGACAAGCGAUUAACACAAAUCAAGACAUAUGCCUCAAAGGGCCUUUUCGAAAUUCCACGUAAUACAAUUAUAAAAAUCAUAAUUUUUUGGGACGGGCUGUCACAAUAUAUUCCUGCAGGCAAACACAAAUAUAUACACAAAAAUAUGCAACAAGAAUAUGCAAAAAGUAUGGCUUUUAGGUCAAUAAUUAUAAUUGAAUUCAAUUAUUUGGACUUCGGGCCAAAUUAAAGAAUGGGUGAAAAAAUAUAAAAACCAUUGGCCCUAAAAUAAUUAGGCGAAUAAAGCUCGGGGCCCAAAAGAAAAACUACGUCCACGGGUGGUUUAAGAAAAAUGGUGCCGUGCAUCCUAGGCCUUAGGGUGGGCUGGGUUUUGUCUCAAGUGGGGCUGCAGGCCCACAGGGAGAAGAAAAUGGGUCGGGCCGUUGAAAGUGAACCCUUAAAAAAUUGCACACGAUUUUUUUUUUCACGGGUUAGAGGAAACCAAUCGGGCCGAGAGAAGGGUUUGCAACGGGCUUUGGCUUACAAACCCAAAAUCAAGUUUUGGUUUUAGAUUGGUCCGUGAAGAACCAAAGCCCAAAGGGCUAUGUUGUUAGACCAAAAGAACAACCUAACGCGUGCUGGGUGUGCUUUGCCGGGGAAGAAUGUCAGAUUUAGUUGACGGCAUUUCCAAGUCGGGGCAAGCCAUGGUUCGUCGGAGAACCAAGUGUUUGUCAAUGGAGAUGAAAUCUCAACGUCGAGGGAGAGAGAACCGAAUGAAUUCAAUUGAAUUCGAGAAAAAAAAAGUAUGAAAUUCUUCUGGAAUUUCGAGAAAUCGUUAUGAAAAACGAUGGGUGUUGUCCAAUUUUCACGAUUGCCAGUCAUGUUUAAAAAACCGACAUGGGAGACCUGGGCUUCAAGUCGUGGGUCGGGACGGUGGUGCAUCAAGUGCACCCGACCGGUGUUCAAUAUUGGGCUGGGCUUGCAUGGUGUGGCCUAUCGCCAUGGAUGGGAUAGUGCAGGGCACGAGUUCAAAAGAACCCUAGGUUUCCCGAUUUGGAUUUUUUUUUUUCAAUUCAAUUCAUAUAUAAUUCAAUUUGAUGCAUAUGCAAUUCAAUAAUUUGAUGCAUGUAAAUAUAUUUGAUACAAUUCAUGGCAAAAUAUCAAAUUCACAUAAUUUAAUAAUUAUGAAUAUAAUGCAUACACAAUUUAUGUAGAAUCUAAAAUUCGAAAAACGUAAACUUGGGUCAUGCAUUAUGGUAAAUGUUUAUGCUAUCAGGGCUGCAAAAAUAUUGAGAUAAAAACCGUUGUUUUGAAAGAACCUGAUUGCGUGAUGAUAUGGAUGAAUUGGUUUGAUGCAGAAAAAUUCUUCAACGUCAGAUUCCUAAGCGUAGCGGUAGGAGCGUGCUGAUAACAUGUUGUGGCCUAUUUUAUUUGACAAGGUUAUGGUGGUCGGCGUCAUGGAGAAGAGAGAGUGUGAGAAAUAUGUUUGUAGAAUUGUAGGGGAAUGUGUGUUGUUAUCCCUCAUACAUUGUGCCUUUACUUAUAAUAGUAAAAGAGAGAAGAUAUUUCUUCUUCCCCAAGUAAUACAAGUUGUAAUAGGAAAUGAUAACUAGAAUCAAAUCUAAUCUAGGAUUUACACAAUCACACUUAAACUAGGAUUUACACAAUCACAAUUCAUGACAAAUAUCCACUUUUUAUUUCAUUACUAUAAAUUGGCAUUGUCUCUUGCUUUAAUAAAGUUCCAUAAUUUCCCAAACAAAUAUUCCUCCAAAACAUAACACAAAAAAGAUGAAAAAAUAAAUUAAUUAAAUAAUGAAGUGAAGCUUACUAUGUAAUGUAUUUUAAUGUUUUGAACCGUCUUAUAUUUUAAAACAUUAUUCAUAGAUCAUCUUUGUAAAAAAUAGACAAGACAAAACCAUUCAGACAUUUAUUUAUAUAUUAUUACGGUUGAAAUUGUUUAUUUUUUUUGGGCCGUUUAUUGACUUUCGUUUUUAGUUUUAAUUUUUAAUUUUUAAAAAAGUAAAAAAAAAAUGUCAAAUGGCCUAUUAAUAACUAUGUAACUACCAUCACUACACAAGGAAAAAAAAAAUUCAACUAAAUUAAUGAUAAUUUAAUCGAGUGUCUGAACAAAACAACUCAAUUAAACAUACAAUAAUUUCCACAAUAAACCCACAAUUGUUCUGAUGUAUAUGCGUGACUAAACAACUAAUAAGAACGACCACGAGUUGGUGGUCUAGUGGUAAAUGACGGAUUACGAGGCUUUUUUAAAACUAAAAACUAGAGGUCUUGGGUUCGAAACCCGUUGUUGGUGUGGAAGCCAGACUUGUGGCCAGGGAAGGCUGAAAUGCCUCUGUGAGUUUUUCCAGCUCCCGAAAAUGGUGGAUAAUUAUGGCUUGCCACCAGUUGUCCUCCUUUUAAGAAAAAAAAAACAACUAAUAAGAAUUAAAUAAUAACCAAUUCAAGUAAUUUGAAACAAAUAAGAUCUGUAAACAAUAAUUAAGAAAUUUGAACCAUUUCAAUUAUAAACAAACGAUAUUAUCUACAUUAAGGGGGAGGAGGUGAGCUUAGCCUAACAAUGGGCUAGCAAUAAUGUAGUUCAAACUCGUAUUUGGCGAGAAUCGAACCUAAGACCGUUGAGUCAAAAUUGUACAUAAUAUGUAAACAAAUAAUUCACUCGACACAAUUUCACCCUCAUUCAUUUUUUUCAAAGAGGGUUUUAUUAAUUUAAGUUCGACUCAUUCUAGACUAUGCGUCUAUUAAUUACAAUCCUUCAUUAAAACGAAAAACCCUUUGAUUCCAAUAUGAAUAAAUCGUAACUUGGAGAUUUUGAGUGUUUGAUUUUUGCUACUGCACCUUGGUUGAGCCCUAGAUUGCCUGCGUACCUUCGUUGAGGGAUCAAGUCACUCGUAGUUCUUUAUGUAUUUGUUGGGGUUUGAUGCCUUGUGCAGUUUCAGCUCGUGCCAUUUGGGAUGUGAUAUGGCUUCGUGCCCUUUAAAACUUAUCGUGGGCUUCAUGCCAUUUGAAUUUAGAGUGGCUUUGUGCCAUUUGAGACUCUAUCUUGGCUUCGUGCCAUUUUGGGAUUUGAUACGGCUUCGUGCCAUUUGGUAUUUGAUAUGGCAUGAUUUUCACCAAUUUGAGGUGGUGAAUCCAUCGAGUUUUGUACUUUGAGAUAGUUCAGAUCCACGGUAUUUAGAGUAAUUUACAUCCGCGAAUUUGGUGUUGUCGAUGUUAUCUCCAUAAUCCUUUAUUUUGGAUUGGUUGGAUUCAACAUGUCUCCAUCACGCUAUUAGGCUCCUGUCAUUUGGUGCUCGUCCUCGGCUCUAAUUCAUAAGGUCUACAUUUACAAAGCCUAUAUGAAUUUAGAUGGGGAGUUGUGGCUUUUCUUUGUUCUCCACGUGGGUAGCAUUCCCACUUAACUUAAAGAGAUUUUGUUUUGCAGAAAGCUUAUUUCUUCUUCUAUUUCAAGACUUCAAAUUUUCUAAGUCCCAAAUAGGGCUUCAAGUGGUGGUGUUUGGAGAGGAAAACCAUAUUUUACCUUUCCAUUUAUUUUGCAUUUGCAUGGAAGACAACUGCCUUUUUUUUAAGUGACCACGUGCAUGGUUUAGAAGAUAAAUUUAUUUCUCUUCUUCUUUAUUGUAGUUUUCCUUUGCAGACUUAGCAAUCUCCAUUUUUUCCUUAUCUUUCGAAUUCCUGGCACAAAAGGCUUUGGGUGGAACUCUUGUAUCCCAUGUUAAUUUUGAACAAGAGAACAUUAGAUUAACUCCUGCUGGUUUUCUUCUACAAGUGAGGUUGAUCUCGAAGCCAUGGUCUUGCUGCGUUUGUCAUUUAGUCAAGUAUAGUUGCUGCACACCUCCGAGCAACGUCUUGCAUAGCUGUUGUUGGUGGCAAAGGCAAUGGUUCUUUUGCUGUUGUUGGCAGAGAAGCAAAUAUCUUUUAGCUAUUUAUUUAGAGAUGUGGCAAAUUUCCUUUCUUUCCUUUUGUCUUGUAGCAUCUGUCAAUUUGAUUUCAAUGCUUUUGGUUAAUAUUUUUGACCCAAUAUUUGAUCAAAAUGAUAUCCACAUUUAAGUCGUUUGAAAGACUUCUUCCUUCUUUUUGGUCAAUUCUUUGAAGCACGGUGCCGCUGACAUGUUUCUUGUUUUAUGCACAAAAUUUAAUCCAUGGGGGCCAUGCUCAUAAUGCUCACAUGAGUGGAAAGUUUUGGAGUAGCUUUUGUUUUCCUCUCUUGCUGUAGCUUUUUCCUUUCUACAUUUUAUAUUUUUUUUUGUCUGGUGUGGAUGCAAAUUUCCGUAUCAUUCUUCUUGAACAAAAUUGCACAUACAAAACAAUUAACACCUUAGGGUCAAGGCCAAGAGCCUCACGCGCUCAUGAUGAAUGGGGGGGCUUUAGCCGAAGAACCUUCGAUGCCAAAGUUAGAAUUUAGAGAGAAAAGUGUUUGGAGAGUUUUUUAGAGUUUUGCAAGAGUGUGGAACCUCCAUUUUUAGAGAAAAUUCAGUCAUAUUUAUAGGGCAUGGCUGGUCCUUUAUGUAUAUUUUGGGUGUUAUUUGGUGAUUUAAUUAGCAAUUAAUAUAUUGAUUAGGAAUUAAUAUAUUUAUUGGCUAAUUAACAUGAUAAAAUGAAUGUUUUGGGGAGGUUAUGUAAUUUGUGUGGAAGGUUUUGAAGGUUAUGGAAUGAUUUCCUUGUAGAAGAUAUAGAGUAAAGAUGGAUGAGAUAAAUUUGAACUUGUUACCUAUUUUUGGGCACUCUUGACUCGGUUGAUGAAUGAUUCUCAACUGCUCGCGUGUAGGAAACCAGGUGUGUCUUGAGGGUAAUUUUGUCCUCUUCACCUAAAAAUCCACGUGUCGCCUCUUGAUUAUUUUUGGCUCCACAAAUGCCCCCACACCUGCUGGGCUGCUCGUAGAAAAGAGCAACAGGUGUAGAGAUCUUUUUGCUCUAGGAAACUUAGAACUGCUUCCUAUUUUGAUGUAGAUUCCCUCUUUAAUAUGAAAUUAGAUCUUUCUAGGAAAGGGAAAUAAAUUUCUCUCAAAGCCUAUUUAAGUCCACCUUAAGUGGGUUGUUAAAUCAACUUUGGACAGCGAUUUAUUCUACCCUACAAGAGAGAGAAAGCUUAGAGGAUAUUUGUUCCCCCUCCUCUAGCAAUCCUCUACAUCUUGCCCGUGCAAAGGACCGUCUUUCGUUGCUUUCUUUGUCUUCUCCAUGUCGCACCAACGUAAUAAAAACUUAAUUUCUUCUUGUCUUCUUCUUGGGUGGUGCUACCACGGGGCAGUCGUCGCGGUGGUGCUGCACGUCGGCUGGCAGGGGCCAAGAAUCUGCUUGGCAAGGGCCAAUGAGGUGAUGUAGCAGGGGGCCAUUGCUUGAGCAGCUCGGCUUGAUUAAAGCCAAUGAUUGGUUUGGCAUAGGCUGAUGAAGUGGUGUGGAAUAGGCAAUUUUUUGGGCUGCCUGCUGAAAAUGAGGAAACUGCUUGAGUUUGAUUUUUCAACUGUCAUAGAUGGAGCAGUCAAGGAUGAAGCUGCCAAGAUCAGAGUUGUUGAAGAUGAAGUGUCGGAUGAGCGAACUGUUAAGUGUAAAAGUAGCUGCUGCCCCCUAACCAUUUGUUGUUUAGUUGAUCUUCAAGCAUUCGAUCUUUUGAACGAUGUGGCCUUCUCGCACUAGAUAGCUUACCCAAAUGGGUGUCAGUGAAUUAGUUUACCCUCUCGCACUGGAGAGCAAUUGGUUUACCCUAUCACACUGGAGAGCAUACCUAUAUGGGUGUUGGGGAAUUAGUUUACCCGCUCGCACUGGAGAGCAAUUAGUUUACCCUCUCGCACUGGAGAGUAUACUCAUAUGGGUGUCAAAGAAUUAAUUUACCCUCUUGCACUGGAGAACAAUUAGUUUAUCCUCUCGCACUAAAGAACAGACCUAUAUGGGUGUUGAUGAAUUAGUUUACCCUCUCGCACUAGAGAGCAAUUAAUUUAUCCUCUCGCACUGGAGAGCAGACCCUUUUGGGUGUCGGGGAAUUGGUUUACCCUCUCGCACUGGAGAGCAAUUAGUUUAUCCUCUCGCACUGGAGAGUAGACCCAUAUGGGUGUCGGGGAAUUGGUUUACUCUCUCGUACUGGAGAGCAUGGAAGUCGUUGUCGUGAGUGCAGCUCAGGAAAACUGAACUGCUGGGACAAUCGAAAUAAUCCUUAGCCUGCGAGGUCAUGUUUGGCGAUCUGUUUGAGACUUCAAACUGUUUGUGGAUCUCGCGUAAGGGUGUAAGCGCAGUGAGCUGCUCCCAGAAUUAUUGUGCCAUCAUUAGGUGUUUCGUCGUGUGCCUUUUUUAGGCUUGGUUGGCACGAGCCAUAUGGCAAGAUUGGCAUAGCUAGGAGCCACGGUGCAAUAUUGGCACAGAUAUGAGCCAUGAUGAUAGAUCAAUGGCUGCUGGAAGCCGUGGAGCAGGCAUGCGUGGUUGUGAAAUCAGAGAUGGGGCUGGCUUGGGCCAGGUUGUGCGCAGCGGGAGGAAUUGUCUGGAGUAUUGAGAACAAGGUCUGCCCCAGGUUCUUGGUAGUCAGGCUGGUGUGUCAUUAUGGUACUCGUCUGCCCCCGGCGUGUCGUAACAGAAAAAGUCUUUAUAUCCGGCAAUCUAUGAGGGGUAGUCCCAUUUGCUCGAUCUUGUCAUUGAAAGAUAACUCGCUUAUGUUGGUCAUGUCUCAUCAAAGUGCUUUGUCAAUAGCUUCGUUGCACGGGAAAUCACACAAUCGCUCGGUCAUGAGUAUUUCUACUUCUUUCUAAAUUUACCUUUGUUAGGGGUGGCAGAGCCCUCGGCUACCCUCGGUCGUGACCUGCUGGUCUAAGCUGCUCUUUCAUGUGUUUGACUCGUCUAUGCCGCGGCUGCGGUCGAUAUGGUAUGUUUCUAGCAAGAGAGCAAGUAACUCGCAGGCUACUGGUUGAACUUGAGCUGGAUUGAGUGAUUGCUUAUCUCCGUCCGCUGUGCUGCCUACUCCGAUGUAAGGUGGAUGAUGCUUCUUGCGGGCCUUGUCACGAAUGAACACUUUGCCUAGAAGGUUGCUCAUGUUGAUUAUCGGAGUGUGGCCCCAACCGUGAGUGUAUGUUCGUCCGUGGGCCUAAUCAAGAGUGCACGCUCCUCUGCACAUUAAGACGGGAGUAUACGUUAUCUCGAAGGCCCAGUCAGGAAUGUACACCGCCAGAACGCUCGGUUCGUAGUUGGUCGAGUGGCUGCUUACCAGGACAUUGCUGGAGAGGUUCUUCGUCUGCCCUUGUCCUACUUCGGGAGACCUUGUCUGGGGCACAUUGCAUCUUGGUGCGCUGCAAGAGCUGGUUCACUAAGGUCGUUUGUUGUGCAAGGGCGCUCGUCAACUCUAUGACUUGUCGAGACAAGUGUUGUUCGCCACUUAGAUUGGAAGAACUUGAAAGGAAUGUGCCUCCUUGGGCAGUGGAAGGGUGGUAGACUCCGGGCAUGAGAUUUGAAUUGGGAAAUGUCAAAUUCACGGAAAAAUGUGGUAAGAAUGCCUCCGACUCGAUGGUAGGUCUGGAUGGUUGAGAUAAUCUUGGGCCGACUUAAGCUGCUUGGAAAGCCACGAGAGCAAAUUGGGCCGCGGGAGUAGGCUGGGCCACAAGAGCAGGCUGGGCCGCGAGAGUGGGCUGCUCAGCGGGAGCAGGUUGCUCGGUGGGAGCAGGCUGAGCCACGGGAGUGGGCUGCUCGGCGGAAGCAGGCUGCUCAGUGCGUGAUGCAUGCGAAUGCGAGGCUUGGGCCUGGGCCCGUGCAAGCUUGGAUGGCAUGGCUUGGGCCAUAGUGGAACCUCGUAGUGGUGGUACCACUCCGCCUAUGACCACAUUUAGCCUCGUGGAUUGCCUCGGUCCCAUUUCUUGAGUAUUAGAAUUUUCACUUGUGGAAUUUUCUAAAUUUCUAGCCAUUAUAUUUUUCUUAUACGUUUUAUCAAAGAACCUUUGUAAAUAAAAAAUUAUAAUAAUAAGAACGUAUGAAAAAUAUUCAAAUGGACUAGAAAAUAGAGAAAAACUUUUUUAUGCGAGAGUCUUCUACGAGUAUGGAUCUCAACUCUUAAUGAAAGCACCAAUUUGUGGAUGCAAAUUUCCGCCUCCUUUUUCUUGAACAAAAUUGCACCUACAAAACAAUUAACACCUUAGGGUCAAGCCCAAGAGCCUCACGCACCCAUGAUGAAUAGGGGGCUUUGGCCGAAGAACCUCCGAUGCCAAAGUUAGAAUUUAGAGAGAAAAGUGUUUGGAGAGUUUUUUGAGAGUUUUGCAAGCGUGUGGAACCUCCCUUUUUAGAGAAAAGUGAGUCAUAUUUAUAGGGCAUGGUUGGUCCUUUAUGUAUAUUUUGGGUGUUAUUUGGUGAUUUAAUUAGCAAUUAAUAUAUUGAUUAGGAAUAAAUAUAUUAAUUGGCUAAUUAACAUAAUAAAAGGUAUGUUUUUGGGAGGUUAUGUAAUUUAUGCGGAAGGUUUUGAAGGUUAUGGAACGAUUUCCUUGUAAAGGAUAUGGAGUAAAGAUGGAUGAGAUAAAUUUGAACUUGUUACCUAUUUUUGGGCACUCUUGACUCGGUUGAUAAAUGAUUCUCCACUGCUCGCGUGUAAGAAACCAGGUGUGUCUCGAGGGUAAUUUUAUCCUUUUCACCUAAAAAUCCACGUGUCGCCUCUUGAUUAUUUUUUGCUCCAUAUCUGGCAUCAAGCUGACUUAUAAGAAAUAAUGGAAUUCUUAUAAAUUAAAAUAUGGCAGCCCAACAACUUGUUUCUUUUUAGAAAAAACUAAGUCUUUGAGAUGGCUUUUCCACCAUGUGUGAACUUGAGAGAGAAAGGCACGAGGACUCUUCUCUGUGCACAAAAAAAAUUGCGACAAUAAUCACUCUGCUAUGGAAAUUGAGGGACUUGCUACUUUCUUUCAACACUUUGUAAGACGACCAAUGAUGCGCAGAGGAGGGAAUUGAAAAUCCCUUUUCUGCAAAUCUUCUUUUUGCUACUACUGACUUGGACAACAACAUGCACCAUUUUUGGUGGACAUUACAUAGCAGAUGAGCCUGAACGCACUCCUUAUUUGUGCGGUCUCCCAUCUACAGACUGUCAGUAGCUGUGAGAAGAGACGAAGCUGAUUUUGAGCCUUCCACUGGAUGAAUAUGGCAUCCAAGAUUUGCACGGAUUUGGUACCUAAAUAUUUUCAUGUAGGUUUGCUGCUUGCUUCAUCUUUGUUUUUUUUUUGUUGGCUAUCUUCAGGGUUUCUUUAACAGGUAGACCACUUUUUGUUCUUCAACACCAAGCCGGUGCAAUUACCGAAAGAGACGUUGACGAUCUGAUUUUUAAGAGCAUUAGUUGCGGGGAGCGGAUCACUUAGACUUAGUUGGAACUUCAGGGGUGGUUUAGACCACCCAUAAGAAAUUCAUGGAGUUGACAGCAGCGGCAGGGAGUGGAUCACUUAGACUUGGUUGGAACUUCACGGGGUGGUUUAGACCACCCCAAAGAAAUUCAUGGGACUAAUGGCAGCGGCGGGGAGCGGAUAGCAUUGAAGAAGCAAAUUGCUUCUUUUUCUUUUUCCUGCAAAGCCGAGAGAAACCAAACAAAUAAAGAUUUAGAAGGAUGGAUUUGUGCCUUUGAAUGCUUUGUUGCUUUCCUUUGCCAUGUAUCCUCUUCUCUGUUUGCCCUUGUCUCCUAGAAUUUCUGCAACACUUUACUUCUUUGAUUGCUCUUCAACUUUCUGAAGAUUUCUGCCAUAUAUUCUUUUCUGUUGUCUCUUAAUUUCUGCAGCGUUUUUUUUGUUUUUCUCUCCUCCGUAUGCUUUUGUCGUGUGCCCUCCCCUUUUUAUAAACGCAAGGAGCAGUUCCAUUAACCUCUUCCAUUUUCUGUUACGUGUUCUACUUUCCCGGGGUGUGGGGAAGUUGAGGAAGGCCAUCACUUUACUGAGUUGAGAUGUGGGAGCUUAGGAGAGUUCUGGAUAGACAAGAACUCUAUUUUUUAGUCUUUGGGCAGAAAUGUAAUUCACACAACUAAAUUUUGUUGUUUUUUUUAAGUCUCACCUACUGUUAAAAUACCUCCAAUAUUAAAAAAAAAAAAAAAACCUCCCACUCCCUCCACGUACUCUCUCUCUCCCCCUCUCUCCUUCUUAUUUUCUAAAAAAAUAUGUUCAUACACACAAAAUGUGUAGGCAAAUGCUAAUAUAUAUAAUGUGAACCUUAUUUUUAGUCGGUCCACGUUUUGGACUACUAUUUUUUCUAAUGUAUCUCCAUCUUUAUAAAACUUGCUAAUAUAUUUUCUUUAUGAAAAUAUAUGGCUCAACAAAAACCUCUUAUUUACAAGUAAAAAUAAACACCAUUAAACCAUAAUAUUAACUGCCGAACCAUUUCAAUUAUAAAAUUUCAACAAUAAAAAGUGCUACAUUAAAAAAUAUAUAUAUAUAUCAAUAGUGAGGACGCUGAAUUAUUUGGACAUCCACGAAGUCAACUAAAAAGCUACGUCUCCUAGUCGAUUUUUCUUCAUUGAUUUCUCUUCUCUCUUUCUAGUCGAUUUUUUUGGAAUAAACAAAUGAACUGCUGCGGAGAGGGCCUCGCGGCUCCGGCGACGUCAGGGGCGGCCGUAUCGCCGCUCGAGUGGAAGUUUUCGCAGGUCUUCGGAGAAAGGACCGCCGGCGAAGAAGUUGAGGAAGGUAAGAGUAAUACUCUUCCCCUGAUUUUCGUUUCGUUUCGUAUUGUUAAGGAUUCACUAUUGCUUUCGUUCUCAUUACGUUUAAUACUAUUAAUUUAAUGUUAAAUACAUGUAGCGGAUGAUUUGUUGCAGAAAUUGUGUAUUGAAUGACGGGAGACGCCAAUGAAAUUUAAUCGAAAAAGUUUGGUCUUUUGAUGACCGAAGCAUUUGAGCUGAAUACUUAAGUUAUUGGCUGGUGGUUUUGUGGCUAUUAUUGAUUAAGCUAUACAUUUGGAGGUUGUCUAUUUGUGUAGCUGUCAGUUUUUAUUUUUCUUUUAAUUUAAUUCACUACAUUUUGAAGUGUUUCAAAAUAAUUAAAAGCACUUUUAGAAAAAAUGUGUUUGGGUUCUAAAAACACUUGAAGGACUUUCUGUAAGAACCACUAGUUAUGUGCAUCGUUCAGAAAACAUUUUAAGUGUUUUUCAAUAAUUUACUUCCAUUUUCACUCAGGGUUGGUUCUAAAAACAUUUUCACCAAAAAAAUUUUCAAUCAUUUUAAAAGCACUUUCAAACGAGCUAUGAUGUUGAUUAGUAUAGGGAUUCAUUUUCGAACAUAUUGUUGCAAUCGAUACAUGUAGAGCUAUAUUUUUAAACUUAAAGGCCCUAGAUUUGAGAAAUAAGUGAACUUGUUAAUCAAGUGUGAAGAACGCGUCAUUUGCGAUCAAUAGCUAUUCUUAUAUACCCGCUUUUGAAUUUCUGAAAAAGAUACUUUAUAGAGUGUUUGAGGGCAUUGAAGUGCUUGGUGCAGAAUUACUUAGGUUUGCUUACUUGCUGGUUGUUUUUGCAGUUGAUGUAAUAUCCGCUAUUGAAUUUGAUAGAACGGGGGACCACCUUGCCGCUGGAGAUCGUGGAGGCCGGGUGGUUUUAUUUGAAAGAACUGAUAUAAAGGAUGUAAGUUAAUACAUUUUUCUUUUGAGGGGUUUGGGGCAUGGAUGUGCAUUUUCCUUGUACUCAAUAUGCCGUUAUAUUUGUUACACUGGUGUGAUUUAGUUGUACUUUGAUGGUAUAAACUUAAAUAAUUAGCAUGGUGGACACCGGAGAGAUCUGGAGAGGAUGGAUUAUUCAAUCAGUGGGCAUCCUGAGUUCCGCUAUAAAACUGAAUUCCAAAGUCAUGAACCCAAGGUAUGACUUUCUUUGUGCUUAACGAGGACAAGUAUAAAUAGGCUUAUGAAGAUUUCCUCUUUGCUGGAAUCUGGAUUUGACUAACUUGCAUCCUAACUUGCAUCUUACUUGGUUUUUCCUGAACUCAGUUAGAUUAUUAUAAGAACUUGGAAAUUGUGGAAACAAUCAACAAGAUCAGAUGGUGUCAAACAGCUAACGGUGCACUGUUUCUCCUCUCCACUAGUAGCAAAACCAUCAAAUACUGGAAGGUAGCACCAACCUUUUGAACUCGUAUGUGGUUAUUUUAUAAAAGAUGAUUUCUCUCGAUAUCACAUCGUCCAGAGUAAUUUUAGCGACAUUAGUUGCAUUGCCCUUUCCAUUUAUAUAUUGUUCGGAACAAAGAUGGCGAUUACUUCAGCCAUUUCAUUUUAUACAUUAUUCUUGGGAUAAACACGCGCAUACGCACAUGCAGAGUGUAGUGGAUGAAUUGUUAUGCCUUCCAGUAGGCAGUACAACAACUUAAGAUAUAAUUAUUUUAAUUUUUUUAUUGUGGAAGGACACUAUCACUUCUGCUAGGUGGCUCACAACCAGGCAAUUGUGCAACAGACACUAUCACUUCCGCAAUACUACAGCCUGUAUGUAGCAGCCUCAUCAAUGAGUUUGUAGAACUCCUACUUUCAUAAACUUCAACAAGGCGGUCAAUUUGACCACAAAGUUUUGCAGCACCUCCAAUUUUUUUCCCUUUCUUAUCAACCUUCUUCUUUUGCAAUUCUCCUUGGUUAGCUGCUCUUUUUUUUCCCUUCCUAGUAGCUUGCCUUAGAUCCUGCAUAGUCUCAUUUUCUUCCUCAUCAUCUAAAUCAAUUUGUCCUAUGGAUUCCUCUCGUCUCUGGUUGUAGUACUCCAGAUGAAGGUGCCCAGGCAUGUUCACCCGUAGCAACUGUGUUCGAGAACAUCCUAUCUAACUUUUCCUCUAUCUCAGGACUAAUGCCCUUUUUUCGCAAUUUUCCAUGUUCUUUGUUUAUCUACAAGUAAAGAAAGAAUAUGGCUAAUACAUAUUGCAUGAUAUCAUAAUACAUAUUAAAAGAUAAAUACACAAACUUGAGUUUUAUUAUUCCACCACUCCUCAGAAGCAUCAACGGUACCCUUGCUCGAAUUCCACCCUAGGCCAGUUUCUUUACCAACUAGCUCUUUCCACAAUUUCCACUCAUUUUAAGUGCAUCCCAUUUAUUUUUCAGUUGCUUUCUUUCAUAAUCAUGUCCUGUCUUUGCCUUGAAGUUAGCUCUAAUAUUUGCAUAUCUAUCUUUGUCAAAGUGAGUGCCCGGACGAUGUCCGGCCUCAACCUCCUUGAUGCAUACAUCACAAAAUAUAGAUAUAUUGUGGGCAUUCCAUGUAGCUGUAGGAUUUGACGAAGAUGCCCCCUUCUUUGCCAUUGAUACCAACUAGUGAUUUGUAUAUAUACAUAUAUAUAUAUAUACAUAUAUUAAAACAAGAACAAAUAAUAUUGAUAACCAAGCAGAAAACAGGUAGUAAACCUAACAUAAGCAGAAGCAACUCGCAAUCAUAUAUGUGUGUGUGUGUGUUGGAGGUUUUCAAUGAUAAUCAUGAUUCAGCCAUUCCCUUUGAUAUACCGAAUAAACAUAUAAUGCAUCUAGCAUAUGCAUGAAAAAGAAUAUAGAUGCAGUGAAUUCGUAGUUGUUGCUCAGUCACAAUUGCCAUUGGAUAACCCAUGUGAAAAAACAAACCCACAUUGCCGGAAACAAGUAAUACUUGUGAGUAACAGCAAGCAGAAACAAAUAAUGACUUUGCUAACGCUGCCUGCUAUAAAAUCAAAGGCAUGCCCCCACAAAACUUAAAGAGUAAUUGUCAGCUGCUACCUGCAACUAUAUAUAUGCAAUCAGCUAAACUAACAAUGGAAUGAAGAGGUGCUCAAAAGGAUCAAACUUUCAGAAACCACAAUUGAACCCCAAAAAGUGGGAAGCUUUAACUCUCCACUCCUAAAAAACACCCACACAAAAGACUGCUCAACAACAUUUCAUAUCGGCACACACAGAGGAAUGAAAAGGAGAAAAUCUCAAAUUUAAAGAUAACCCAUGUGAAAAAACAAACCCACAUUGCAGGAAACAGGUAGUGUGUUUAAGAAACAAACAAACAAACAAACAAAGUACAUAAACAAAAAUUAAACCCUAAGAACUGAAAUUGCUUCAUGGAUCUCAUGAUAAUAAUUAGAACCUUAAUUCAAACCCCAAAACUGAAAUUUAGAGAAUUAAUUCAAACCCCAAAACUGAAAAUUAGAACAUUAAUUCAAACACCAAAACUGAAAUUGCUUCAACGAUGGAAGAGAGAGAGAGAGAGAGAGGGAGAGGGAGAGAGAGAGUUAUGUUUACCUAAUCAAUGAGAUCGAGCUCGUUCGUUGGUUGCCAAAUAAACCCUGUUUCAGAAAACCCCAAAAAAAUCGGUUCAUCAUCCAUGUUAGCUGCUAGAACCAAACCCUGAAUUAAAAUUAAACUACAAAAAUAGAAGCAAACUGGAGAGAGCAGCCAAACCCUAACCUAAAAAUUAAAUUAAUUCGAGUACCUGCUACCUGGAAGGCGACGGCGGUGUGGCGCUGAGACCGACGGAGAGAGAGGAAAAUGAGGAGUUGUGCAGCAGCAGGAGGGAAGAGGGGCGUGCGGAGUGUUUUGAGGAAUCAGGAGAAAGGAGGGGGCAGUAUUGGCAAAUUAGAACAAUUCAUUAACAAAGUACUGUAGCUCCAUGUUUUGUAUAAUAAGCCGCUUCUUGAAGCUGCUUCUUGCAGCUUCCACUUUUUGGCAUUUUUUCAUCUGAAAUUUUGAAAUAAAGCUAUUUUGGGAUGUUUACCAAACACCAAAAAUCUUCCAACUUUUUUUCAUACCAGUUUUUUUUUAAAUCACCUUAACGCUAAACCGGGCUAAAUCUAUGGAAAAUGGCGCAGUUGCUAGUUCUAUGUCAGCAAGCUCAAAACCGUAUCUUGC